rnacentral:rRNA from 1 species
AGUAAAUGUGGAGCCGUAGCGAAAGCGAGUCUGAAUAGGGCGUUUAGUAUUUGGUCGUAGACCCGAAACCAGGUGAUCUACCCUUGGUCAGGUUGAAGUUCAGGUAACACUGAAUGGAGGACCGAACCGACUUACGUUGAAAAGUGAGCGGAUGAACUGAGGGUAGCGGAGAAAUUCCAAUCGAACCUGGAGAUAGCUGGUUCUCUCCGAAAUAGCUUUAGGGCUAGCCUCAAGUGAUGAUUAUUGGAGGUAGAGCACUGUUUGGACGAGGGGCCCCUCUCGGGUUACCGAAUUCAGACAAACUCCGAAUGCCAAUUAAUUUAACUUGGGAGUCAGAACAUGGGUGAUAAGGUCCGUGUUCGAAAGGGAAACAGCCCAGACCACCAGCUAAGGUCCCAAAAUAUAUGUUAAGUGGAAAAGGAUGUGGCGUUGCCCAGACAACUAGGAUGUUGGCUUAGAAGCAGCCAUCAUUUAAAGAGUGCGUAAUAGCUCACUAGUCGAGUGACACUGCGCCGAAAAUGUACCGGGGCUAAACAUAUUACCGAAGCUGUGGAUUGUCCUUUGGACAAUGGUAGGAGAGCGUUCUAAGGGCGUUGAAGCAUGAUCGUAAGGACAUGUGGAGCGCUUAGAAGUGAGAAUGCCGGUGUGAGUAGCGAAAGACGGGUGAGAAUCCCGUCCACCGAUUGACUAAGGUUUCCAGAGGAAGGCUCGUCCGCUCUGGGUUAGUCGGGUCCUAAGCUGAGGCCGACAGGCGUAGGCGAUGGAUAACAGGUUGAUAUUCCUGUACCACCUAUAAUCGUUUUAAUCGAUGGGGGGACGCAGUAGGAUAGGCGAAGCGUGCGAUUGGAUUGCACGUCUAAGCAGUAAGGCUGAGUAUUAGGCAAAUCCGGUACUCGUUAAGGCUGAGCUGUGAUGGGGAGAAGACAUUGUGUCUUCGAGUCGUUGAUUUCACACUGCCGAGAAAAGCCUCUAGAUAGAAAAUAGGUGCCCGUACCGCAAACCGACACAGGUAGUCAAGAUGAGAAUUCUAAGGUGAGCGAGCGAACUCUCGUUAAGGAACUCGGCAAAAUGACCCCGUAACUUCGGGAGAAGGGGUGCUCUUUAGGGUUAACGCCCAGAAGAGCCGCAGUGAAUAGGCCCAAGCGACUGUUUAUCAAAAACACAGGUCUCUGCUAAACCGUAAGGUGAUGUAUAGGGGCUGACGCCUGCCCGGUGCUGGAAGGUUAAGAGGAGUGGUUAGCUUCUGCGAAGCUACGAAUCGAAGCCCCAGUAAACGGCGGCCGUAACUAUAACGGUCCUAAGGUAGCGAAAUUCCUUGUCGGGUAAGUUCCGACCCGCACGAAAGGCGUAACGAUUUGGGCACUGUCUCAACGAGAGACUCGGUGAAAUCAUAGUACCUGUGAAGAUGCAGGUUACCCGCGACAGGACGGAAAGACCCCGUGGAGCUUUACUGUAGCCUGAUAUUGAAAUUCGGCACAGCUUGUACAGGAUAGGUAGGAGCCUUUGAAACGUGAGCGCUAGCUUACGUGGAGGCGCUGGUGGGAUACUACCCUAGCUGUGUUGGCUUUCUAACCCGCACCACUUAUCGUGGUGGGAGACAGUGUCAGGCGGGCAGUUUGACUGGGGCGGUCGCCUCCUAAAAGGUAACGGAGGCGCUCAAAGGUUCCCUCAGAAUGGUUGGAAAUCAUUCAUAGAGUGUAAAGGCAUAAGGGAGCUUGACUGCGAGACCUACAAGUCGAGCAGGGUCGAAAGACGGACUUAGUGAUCCGGUGGUUCCGCAUGGAAGGGCCAUCGCUCAACGGAUAAAAGCUACCCCGGGGAUAACAGGCUUAUCUCCCCCAAGAGUUCACAUCGACGGGGAGGUUUGGCACCUCGAUGUCGGCUCAUCGCAUCCUGGGGCUGUAGUCGGUCCCAAGGGUUGGGCUGUUCGCCCAUUAAAGCGGUACGCGAGCUGGGUUCAGAACGUCGUGAGACAGUUCGGUCCCUAUCCGUCGUGGGCGUAGGAAAUUUGAGAGGAGCUGUCCUUAGUACGAGAGGACCGGGAUGGACAUACCUCUGGUGUACCAGUUGUCGUGCCAACGGCAUAGCUGGGUAGCUAUGUGUGGACGGGAUAAGUGCUGAAAGCAUCUAAGCAUGAAGCCCCCCUCAAGAUGAGAUUUCCCAACUUCGGUUAUAAGAUCCCUCAAAGAUGAUGAGGUUAAUAGGUUCGAGGUGGAAGCAUGGUGACAUGUGGAGCUGACGAAUACUAAUCGAUCGAAGACUUAAUCAA